UACGUAGGGGGCAAGCGUUGUCCGGAUUUAUUGGGCGUAAAGAGCGUGUAGGCGGCUUUGCAGGUCCGCUGUGAAAACUCGAGGCUCAACCUCGAGCUGUCGGUGGAAACCGUAAAGCUAGAGUCCGGAAGAGGAGAGUGGAAUUCCCGGUGUAGCGGUGAAAUGCGCAGAUAUCGGGAAGAACACCCGUGGCGAAGGCGGCCCUCUGGGACGGUACUGACGCUGAGACGCGAAAGCGUGGGGAGCGAACAGG
rnacentral:rRNA from 1 species